AUGAAAUCCCAAAUGACGCUUUCCCAUUUUUUUUGUUGUUGAUUGAUGUGAGGGAUUGAUUAACAGAGAAGAUUACAUCAGAAAAUUUGAGAUAUAUUUACGCGGAAAACUUCUCAAAAUAAAUUGGAGAAAUGAGUGAAUAAAAAAUACUAUUCACAUAAUGGAGAUGUUUAUUUUCGACUUUUGAUGACUGGAAAAUUAAUUUCAAUUAAUGGAAUAAUUAAUGUUAAUAAAAAUAUUGAUUCACAUUAAGCAUAUAAGAGCAUAAUUAAAUAAGAAUGGUCAUUUCUCACGCAAGAAAUGAAAAAAUUUCGUAAAAGGGCUUUGAGAAGCAUUCGAAAGAUAUUUUCAAGGUCCUAAAUGUAUUAUAAGUGACAAAAAUCUACGUCAUGAUACAAAAAAUGAAAAACGUAGAAAUAGAUGAGUAGUUUUACACGUUUGAACUUGUUCUUUUUCUAUUCUUGAUAGCUCUUGCCAGAGAAAAAGGAGGUAAGAUGAAGGUCUCGUAGCUACUGUGUAGGGAUACCACUACUACAUACAUCCAUUUAAUAUACUACGUCGUACAGAUUAGUGGGCUUGAUUUUACUGUAUAGUAGAAAACGAUAAAUACAUUGAUGAAAUGUUGUGGUAUACACAUAGAGAUAGGUUAAAAACUCAUACUAAUUUCGUUCCUUCUCUUUCUAAGUCAUGACUUAAGCAUAUGUUCGUGUUGUAGCACGUUUCAAACACGUUUCUUUAUUCAAUUUAAUGCGUUUACCAAUAAUCAAUUUCAUAUGAGAGUAGGAAUGGAUGUUUUGUUCUUUGUUAAAAGUUACUCAGUAUUUUUUUCACAGUCUCUAUGAAUAUAUGAGAUUUAUUUUCUUCGAUUUUUAAUAAACUUUGAGAUGAUGAUGAAAUUCAUGGGACUUUUUUCGAGGACAAUAAACUUCUAGAAGAAAAAUAAGUUACAGUAUUCAUUAUGUGGAAGAAAGAAAAAAUAUUACUUAAUAUAUAAGCCUUAUAGUUAGCUCAUUGAUGUUAUUAUUUAUAAAAAAAAGUUUUUUAUUGUGUAUGAGUCAUCUUGGAAGAUUUUGUGAUAUAGAUUAAAAGAAUAACAUUGAAAACAUUAAUUGUAGUUCCAAAGUUAGUUAGAAAAAUAAUUCAUUAAC